rnacentral:rRNA from 1 species
CGGCGGUGCUAUACAUGCAAGUAGAACGCUGAAGAGAGGAGCUUGCUCUUCUUGGAUGAGUUGCGAACGGGUGAGUAACGCGUAGGUAACCUGCCUUGUAGCGGGGGAUAACUAUUGGAAACGAUAGCUAAUACCGCAUAACAAUGGAUGACACAUGUCAUUUAUUUGAAAGGGGCAAUUGCUCCACUACAAGAUGGACCUGCGUUGUAUUAGCUAGUAGGUGAGGUAAUGGCUCACCUAGGCGACGAUACAUAGCCGACCUGAGAGGGUGAUCGGCCACACUGGGACUGAGACACGGCCCAGACUCCUACGGGAGGCAGCAGUAGGGAAUCUUCGGCAAUGGGGGCAACCCUGACCGAGCAACGCCGCGUGAGUGAAGAAGGUUUUCGGAUCGUAAAGCUCUGUUGUAAGUCAAGAACGGGUGUGAGAGUGGAAAGUUCACACUGUGACGGUAGCUUACCAGAAAGGGACGGCUAACUACGUGCCAGCAGCCGCGGUAAUACGUAGGUCCCGAGCGUUGUCCGGAUUUAUUGGGCGUAAAGCGAGCGCAGGCGGUUUGAUAAGUCUGAAGUUAAAGGCUGUGGCUCAACCAUAGUUCGCUUUGGAAACUGUCAAACUUGAGUGCAGAAGGGGAGAGUGGAAUUCCAUGUGUAGCGGUGAAAUGCGUAGAUAUAUGGAGGAACACCGGUGGCGAAAGCGGCUCUCUGGUCUGUAACUGACGCUGAGGCUCGAAAGCGUGGGGAGCGAACAGGAUUAGAUACCCUGGUAGUCCACGCCGUAAACGAUGAGUGCUAGGUGUUGGAUCCUUUCCGGGAUUCAGUGCCGCAGCUAACGCAUUAAGCACUCCGCCUGGGGAGUACGACCGCAAGGUUGAAACUCAAAGGAAUUGACGGGGGCCCGCACAAGCGGUGGAGCAUGUGGUUUAAUUCGAAGCAACGCGAAGAACCUUACCAGGUCUUGACAUCCCGAUGCUAUUUCUAGAGAUAGAAAGUUACUUCGGUACAUCGGUGACAGGUGGUGCAUGGUUGUCGUCAGCUCGUGUCGUGAGAUGUUGGGUUAAGUCCCGCAACGAGCGCAACCCCUAUUGUUAGUUGCCAUCAUUCAGUUGGGCACUCUAGCGAGACUGCCGGUAAUAAACCGGAGGAAGGUGGGGAUGACGUCAAAUCAUCAUGCCCCUUAUGACCUGGGCUACACACGUGCUACAAUGGUUGGUACAACGAGUUGCGAGUCGGUGACGGCGAGCUAAUCUCUUAAAGCCAAUCUCAGUUCGGAUUGUAGGCUGCAACUCGCCUACAUGAAGUCGGAAUCGCUAGUAAUCGCGGAUCAGCACGCCGCGGUGAAUACGUUCCCGGGCCUUGUACACACCGCCCGUCACACCACGAGAGUUUGUAACACCCGAAGUCGGUGAGGUAACCUUUUGGAGCCAGCCGCCUAAGUGACAGAG